rnacentral:tRNA from 1 species
UUAUUUUGGCAGAUUAGUGUAUUUGAUUUAUAAUCAUUUUAAGUAAAAAGUUGAUUAGAAGUAAUAU